CCCCUCACCUCGGGGUGCCGGCGCCUGUCCGGCUGAGAUGCGAACUGCGCGAACCCGUUGAACCUGAACCGGUUAAGACCGGCGGAGGGAAGGUAUCCGGCACGCCC
rnacentral:ncRNA from 1 species